GUAACCAAUCACCAUGUUGUAGCUAAAUUGGCAACAGAUGGGAGCGGAAUACAUUGUUGUAAGAUUUAUCUAGCAGACACAAGAGGCAAUGGCUUUUACAGGGAAGGAAAGAUUGUUGGUGUUGAUCCAGAAUAUGAUCUGGCUGUCCUUAAGUUGACUAAAGAAGACGUGCAAGCUUGUGUUAGAUAGCCUGAAGUGAACAUAAAGAACCUAGAUUGCAUAGAGCUAUCAAGGAAAGGGUUGAAAGAAUUGCAAGAGUGGAUGGUGGACAACUGGGUUCCUAGAAAUUGCUAAAUUCAAUUAGAUAUUGAAAUGGCUAUUGAGGGAAAUUUAGAGCGAGGAAAAUGACUAAAAUUAGAGUUGUUUCUGAAUAUGUUUCAAUGGAGAUUUGAGAUAUUUGAAGCUGGCCAACCUCAUAUUAAAAUGAAUUUCUUCUGAGUGUCUCUCAAUGGUCCUGUAUCCAAGCAAAGUUUGAUUGCUUCAAUUUUUUAGGAUGGUGCUUUAUUCUUGAAUGAGUUCCCAAAUAAUUUGUUUUCCUUUUUGUAUUCACUUGCUAACUAUGUACUUUGAGGUUCCAUAAUGAGAUGGAAGUUC